UAGGUAACGUGCCCUCUGAGUUCUCCA
rnacentral:piRNA from 1 species